UUUGGUGGUCUGCGCUCUGCUUAAGCCAGAUUACCUGGUUAGAUAAUCUGCCAGGAUUAGCUAACCUUUGAAAAACCACCUGCCAGGGUGGUUUUU
rnacentral:antisense_RNA from 1 species